AUCAACGUUGGAAGGGAAAAAGAAAGGACACAUUGAAUCAUGUUCAGUUGUCGUCACUCCGAUCUUGAUGGAGAAGAAAAGAUAGCGCGGCCCACCCACCACGCAAAGGCCAGGGCGCAAAUGCCACCACCCAAGCAGUUGGGAAAUGGUUGGAAUUAGGUCUUUAGUGCAGGGUCAAACGACUCGCUCGAGAGGCGUGAUAGAAAAAAAAAGAAAAACCCAAAGUGGUGUCACCCGGAUGGCAGAGUUGCGCUAGUCGAUGCAUUUUAGACGAAGAAUGUGUGUUGGGGUGCUGACUCUGGGAUAGCGUUAAAGAUUAAAAAAUGGGUUUUUUCAAUUAUUAUUAUUACAAGCAGG
rnacentral:sRNA from 1 species